rnacentral:rRNA from 1 species
CCACGGUAGGGUCAGCGACUGGGGUGAAGUCGUAACAAGGUAGCCGUAGGGGAACCUGCGGCUGGAUCACCUCCUUUCUAAGG